AAGACUAUACUUUCAGGAAUCAUUUCUAUAGUUCGUUACUUGAGAAAUGUGUGUCUAAAGUGGUAGGUCUCGCUAUCCAUGAUGACGAUUCAAGAUAUUCCCGUUCAGAACAUGAAUCUGGUGGCUAGAAAUGACUUUGCUCAUGUUUCUUCCACCUUUUG
rnacentral:snoRNA from 8 species